GUUGGCAACUUACGGUGACUCCGUCCAAUUGUGGCUUCUCUGCCCGACGUCCUGAGUGCCUGCUCUGAUGUGCUGAUGUGAAAACCCUCACUCUGCUAGCAGGUGAGGGUUGAUCUUACGGACAGUGGACCAAGCUCAAAGGCUUCGAAGGCCAGAAACUCAUCUGGAUUUAUUCUCAAAAAGUUUUUAAUUUAUCACGUUUUAUGAUGCAGGCUGGAAACGGAGCAGAGAAACAGCUAUAUGCUCCUCUCCAGUCGCAGUAAGCUGACCCCGCCAUUCCCUCAGACUUUCAGCCACUAGCUGGACACUCAGUAUUUCCUGAGGAGCGAGGCGCCCCCUCCUGCUUCGGAUCCAGUCAUCUCCUUUGUUCCUACAACGUUGAUCCUGCAGUCGAGCCAUGCUCUUGAUCUCUGGCUGCCAGCGCCUGCGACAUCCGCCGCGUGGCCCCCAGUUUCCUCUCCCAGGGGCCUGAGAUGGCUCGCUAACAGGAAGCCCUAGAGGCACUGCGGCUGCUGGCCCGCUGUUUCCGUAUCAGAAGCGGUGUGAUACGGUCUUCGUUUGGGGAGAAGGAUGGUGACCGAGGCUUCAUGUUCUGAUCAGAAUGAUGGGAGCAGCAGGAUGGCGGUGAAAAAUUCCCGGGAGAAUGGAGCUCGAGUAUGGCUUGGUUCAGAACUCCAACAAAACAGACGUCCAAAAGUCCUGUUGGCUCAAAUUUCUGUUCCUGUAUGUUCUACAGAAUUUCUGUGCACAAAAACUGAAGCGCGCACAUCUGGUCUCCGCUUACCAAGAGAAGAGUUUCACACAACAAGGAGUGAGAAUUGCUGUAGUUCCCAGAACUGUUUUGGGGUCUUUUUCUGCUCCGACCACAGGAUAAAAGCUUCAGUAAUGUUGAAUUAACCUUUAAUGCAGUAAAUUUUAUUUUGUCACCUCCAGUGAAAUUAUUAAGCUGCCCAACAACAUUCAACAUUAUGUUCAGAGAAGAAUCUGGAUCUCUUAAAAACUGAAGUAAUGAUGAAAAUAAAUUUACAGAUUAAAACCAGAGAAAUGUGUAAAUCUUAGUGUUUGAAAGUCGUUCCGACUCAGAUCCCACCUUCAUAACUCAGACUAAUUGGACAGUGACUGUUUAAACAAACCAAUCAUACUGGAUAGAUCCUGACACCAGAGAUCUGCAGGAUUAUCAUAUCACAACCAGGACAUUACUGAGCAGAACCGUUGCAAGCUGCCUAUCAGCCCACAGAUCCAGCAGUGAGAGUGGCCGACACCCACUUAAGGCCUCCUGACCUGAUCUCGGCAUCGUGACCCUGAGCUAAGUCAGAUCUCGAUAUCCCGACCACAAGCUGGGUCUGAUCUCGGCCUCCUGACCCAAUCUCGGCAUCGUGACCAUAAGCCGGGUCUGAUCUCGGCCUCCUGACCCUGAGCUGGGUCUGAUCACAGCAUCUGAGCUGGAUCACAGCAGACUUUUUGGGACCCACUUCAGGACAGGAGCACAGGUUCAGAUGACCAGUCCCUGUGUAAGUUCUGGGUCACCACAGCAAAAGCAGGAGAACAGCACUGUGCUGCACAGACUGGUGACCAUCCUGUCCUCCCUGCAGAGAUCCAGGAUGAAAGAACAAUCAGAAAUAUGAUCUGCAUUAAUUAUGCUGCUGAUUAAAAACAUCUAGUCAUAAAACAAUCAGUGCAGGAACGAAAACAAAUAUUUCCCCAUUUGUUUUUCUCCCCUUGCAUGUAUAAAUAUCAGUAUGUGAUUGUCAAAAUCAGCUUCUUGUUUAAUAGAUUACACAGUAUACAAUGACAAAUAUUAUAUUCAGUCCAGCGCAGGAUUGUGAGGUGUUUAACUGAAGCAGAGAAUGUCAGUGGUGUCAUCAUUUGCUCAAAGGUUAGGUAAAAAAUGUUGAACUUUUCAGAUUGGCACUUAUUUUCCCUACCUCACCCACAAGCAAGGUUAACUUAGUCAGGGUGGAUUCAACUUAACAUGAACUGUUCUGGAACAGAAAACUCCAGUUUCCCUGUUGGGGGUAACAAUAUUCAGGGUUCAUGAGUUCUGUGAUCCCUUAAAGAACCCCUGCUUAUGUUGACCCAGGAGCCUGUAGAACACAGGGUCCAGGACCUCUGUGAAAUUAAACUAAGUUUCAUGUUUUGUUAAAAGUCACAGUAAAACUGUUUUAGCAGAUACUUACAUUUUUAGGCAGAUCAAUUUAAGACCGAGA